CCUGCCGCUAGAGGCACUGCAAGUGUGGCUGCUAUGUCACACGGGCAUCAGUAGGUGGCAGAGAGGAGAGCGUGUAGGCACAAGUGUUCUGACCUGUGAACAUCUGAAGGACUAGUAGCCUAAUAUU